rnacentral:rRNA from 1 species
GACGAACGCUGGCGGCGUGCUUAACACAUGCAAGUCGAACGAAGUGGCGAAAGGGUGAGUAACGCGUAAUCAACCUGCCCUUCAGAGGAGGACAACAGUUGGAAACGACUGCUAAUACAGCAUACUGUAGGAGGGGAUUACGUCUGAUUAGCUAGUUGGCGGGGUAACGGCCCACCAAGGCGAUGAUCAGUAGCCGGUCUGAGAGGAUGAACGGCCACAUUGGGACUUAGACACGGCCCAGACUCCUACGGGAGGCAGCAGUGGGGAAUCUUCCGCAAUGGACGAAAGUCUGACGGAGCAACGCCGCGUGAGUGAUGACGGCCUUCGGGUUGUAAAGCUCUGUUAAUCGGGACGCGGUACCGGAAUAGAAAGCCACGGCUAACUACGUGCCAGCAGCCGCGGUAAUUC